rnacentral:lncRNA from 1 species
CUCUCUAUACAAAUUGGGAAUUUCAAAAAGCUUAAACCUAACCCGAUAAAUAUGUUCCGCAUUUUUGUUGGAUUUGGAUACAGAGAGAGAAUAUGAGACAUUUAAAUGUGAAAUUAGUCCAUAGCUAGGGGACAGUCAAAUCUGAAGGUGAUUUUUCCGGUCUUUUGUUCUCAUUUUUUUUCGCAUCGCAUCUGAAGACGGCGAUAUCUACGCAAGGUAUUUCGGGAUAACAACUAAUUGUGGAAUCCCAAAUGCAUAUGCCUCUGUUUUACGGAUCUUUGUAUGGAAAAUAUAUUGUUGAUACAAAAAUUACCGAUUCCGUAUAUAUAUAUAUAUAUAUAUAUAUAUAUAUAUAUAUAUAUAGUAACUGAAUUAUUUUGUAAUUACUUACUAUUUAGGGUUUAUUUUUUCAUACAAAAAAUUACUGCAUUCCAUAUAUAUAUAUACACACACAUAUAAGUGUGUGUGUGUAUCGCAUUUGAUGCCAUUUGACAGACAAUCCUCUUGUAAAGUUUUUUCUAAGAAGAAAUAUAAUGGCAUUUGGCUAUAUUUGCAAUAUAUCGAGUAACAAGAUGAAUUGAAAUUUGAAGGUACGAAUAGUGAGAUUGUGGCACAUUCCAGAACACGACAAACCGGAUAACACCGUCUCCCUUGAAUUAUUUAUUCAAGACGAAAAGGUGCAUUCUUUUUUAGUUGCACUUAUUUUUUCAUACAAGUUUGACUACAAUCUCCAUCAUCUGCUUUGUACUAUAAAAUUCAUUACGUUAAACAUGUAUUUAAUCAACUUCAAUUUAGAUUAGUAUUUACCAUCAAAUAUGUUGUAUGCGUUAUUUUGGAAAGGCAAGCAUGCACAUAUUAUGUUUUACCCAUUGAUGCUUCGUUUUUAAUAUACUCUGCGACCACACUGUACAACUGAGUAUUUGUCUAACUCAAUAUUAAUUAUGAAUUUUUUGAUUUUAGGGCGAUCGCAUUCAUGCGACUGUUGAUCGAUCACUUAUAUGUAUGUUCAAACCAAAGUUAAAAGAAUUAGGUUUGUACGUUAUGAAGAACUUUGUGGUUGGACCAAAUUAUACGAAUCUUGAAUACACACGACAUAAAUUAAAGUUGGCAUUUACUCAUAAGACAAUUCUAGUGGAAGCAAAUGAUCAUCUUUUUUGUAUAACUAUCUUCGACUUAAAAUCUUAUGAGUAUUUGAUAAACAAAAUUAAUGUUGAAGAAAGUGAACUCUUUGGUAAGUAUUCAAUUCGCAGUGUUUUUAUUUGAAUGUCUUACAAACUUUCUCUUGGCUAUUUUUUUAAAUUAUUAUAAAUGUCAUUGGAGAUGUUGUAAGUUAUAGUGAGAUAGAAUCUCAUAACCAAGGUGAUAAAAUCAGCAAUUAUAUGCAUGUGGAACUUGAAAAUCAUGAGUAAGACUACGUCUAUGGAUUUACUUUGUUAUAUAUUUUAACAUCAUUACAUAUCAUUGUCUGAUUAAAUUGUUAUAUAUUAACAUGAUUAUGGUCGUUGUCUAAUUAAGUUGUUAUAGAAAUUACACAGGAGGAAUAAUAUCUCGGCAACAUUUUGGGAAGAAUUCACUGACCAAAUCUUGUGUCAUUUACAGGGAUCACCCCAUCAACGGGUCAUAAUUGUUAUGAAGUUGAUAAAAGCUCACAAAUUUAAAGGUAUUUUUAUUGUAUUGAUGUUAUUGGAUAUUUUUUUUAUGUUAAGUUUCUGGUUCAGAAACUAAAGUUAUAUAUAGGCAAAUAUUCUAUGUGCAAUAACUGGCAUGCCUUAAAGCUCUGGAUUAACCCGGAUCUUCCUCAAGCUAUUGAUUUUAAGUCGAGGUUAGUUACUUCACGUGACGAACCGACCUGUCGCCUCAUGUGUUACUACUCUAUUUCCCCCAUGUUAGGCUUCUUCAUAUAUUUUUAUCGAUAUAUGGUAUGUUAGAGUUGGUUUGGACUGGUUUUGAUAAGAAAUGAGACACUUAGUCUCUUUAAGCAAGACUUAAGUAGGAAAAGCCAAUCGGACGUUGAAUAGUGAGUUAUAGGGUUCGAAUGUGAUUUCCAAUGAUUUGGUUAGCUUCGAGGAAUGAUUUGUGACUUAGUAGAGUGAUCGUAAUUGAAUUUGGAGGUCUGUUGUAGAAUUAGACUUGAAUUGGCGAAGUUCGUAUUUUGGCGAAUUCCAGUUGAUAGGUGAGAUUUUGAUCUGAGGGUCGGAAUGGAAUUACGAGAGUUGCUGUAGCUUCAAUAUAUGAUUUGUGAUGUGUGUGAAAAUUUUCAGGCCAUUCGGAGGUAUUUAGGUUGGAUUUUUGAUUGAAUGUGCAAUUCGGAAGUUUUUAAGAAACUUAGGCCUUGAUUUGAGGAUAUUUGAGGAUUUUGAUGUUAGCGAUAGUAUUGAAGGUUCGGACAAGUUUGAAUAAGUUAUUAGAUCAUGUCCGCACUUUUGGUUGAGGUCCCGGGGGCCUCGGGGUAAGAUCGGGUGUUAAAACGAGAAGCUUUUGAAGUUGGUUUCAGGUUUGUUUUGGUGUUAGCUGGUAUUUCCGCUUCUGCGGAAAUGGAUCGCAUAAGUUGUUCCGAAGAAGCGAGUGAAGAAGCAGAGAUGCAAGUUUGGAAGGAGUUGAGGAGUUCCGCAAAAGCGGAACAUGGUAGUGUUAGCGGGUCCGCAUGAGCGAAUAUCGACCGCAGAAGCGGACUCAGAGAUCCGCAGAAGCGGACUCAGGGAUCCGCAGAAGCGCAUUUCUGUGUCGCAGAAGCGGUCGUGGGAAAUUAAGUGAAGAACUGCAUAAGCAGAUUUUUGGCCGCAGAAGCGAUAGCGGGACCGCAAAAGCGAAAAGGACUGUUGGCAGAAGGGUUUAAAGGUUUUAUUUCCUUAUCGAGCUAGGCAUUAUUUUCCUCCAAUGUUGAGCAACCUUGGGAGCUUUUGACGAUAUUGUAAGACAGAUUUGACUGAAAAUAAAAUGGAGGUAAGCUCCUUGGCCUAAUUAUUCAAGUUUAUGGUAGAAUAAACAUGGAAAUUGGUUGAAAUUCAUUAAAAAUGGGUAAAGCUAGGGCUUGAGUUUUAAUAUUUCAAAUUGGAAUUUGAUAGGCAAUUUGAGCUCAUAUUUGGUAAUUCUUGGUAUGUAUGAACUCGUGGCGAGACGAGGAAUCCGGUAAUGUAAGUUUUGUAAUUUUUUGAGAAGCUGUUCCGGGGCUAGGGUUUUGCUAGUCUCGAGAUUUUUGAUAUAUCUUGAUUGUUUUUGAUUGGGUAUUAUUCCCUUGGCAUAGUGUGAUGCGUUCGCUCUGAUUUUGGUUAGAUUCGAUGCACGUGGAGGCCGAUUUGAGGGGCAAAGGUGUCGUGGGCUAGAGAUUUUGCCGGUUCGAGGUGAGAAAUACUUAUAAAUGAUAUCUUGAGGGGUUGAAACCUUGGAUUUGCACAUCAUAAUGCUGUAUCGAGGUGACUUGCACGCCGGAUAUGUGUGUGGGUAUAGCACUGUUGGGGAUUGAGACUCGGUCCGUUCCGAUUGAUGAAAUUACUACGUAUUUUACUGAAAACUACUUGAAUUAUUAUGAUUUAGUUUUUUUGCCAUUUGUAGGGCUUCGUGCCGAUCAUUUGAAUCCUUUGGGGAUUGAUAUCACUGUUUUUGCAUUACUCUGCAUAUUAUUUGAUCUCGAUCCAAAGUUUUAAAUACCAUUUUACAAACUCAGC